rnacentral:rRNA from 1 species
UACGUAGGGUGCAAGCGUUGUCCGGAAUUAUUGGGCGUAAAGAGCUCGUAGGCGGUGUGUCGCGUCGGCCGUGAAAACCUGCAGCUUAACUGUGGGCUUGCGGUCGAUACGGGCAUCACUGGAGUUCGGCAGGGGAGACUGGAAUUCCUGGUGUAGCGGGGAAAUGCGCAGAUAUCAGGAGGAACACCAGUGGCGAAGGCGGCUCACUGGUCCAUUACUGACGCUGAGGAGCGAAAGCGUGGGGAGCGAACAGG